rnacentral:rRNA from 1 species
CAGCCCCGCGGGAACACGGAGGGGGCUAGCGUUGUUCGGAAUUACUGGGCGUAAAGCGCACGUAGGCGGCUUGGUAAGUUAGAGGUGAAAGCCUGGAGCUCAACUCCAGAAUUGCCUUUAAGACUGCCGAGCUAGCAGGUGAGAGAGGUAAGUGGAAUUCCGAGUGUAGAGGUGAAAUUCGUAGAUAUUCGGAAGAACACCAGUGGCGAAGGCGGCUUACUGGCUCAUACUGGACGCUGAGGUGCGAAAGCGUGGGGAGCAAACAGGAUUAGAUACCCCGGUAGUCCCUGUCUCUUAUACA